rnacentral:rRNA from 1 species
CCUACGGGUGGCUGCAGUGGGGAAUAUUGCACAAUGGGCGCAGCCUGAUGCAGCCAUGCCGCGUGUGUGCAGAAGGCCUUCGGGUUGUAAAGCACUUUCAGCGGGGAGGAAGGCGUUAAGGUUAAUAACCUUGUCGAUUGACGUUACCCGCAGAAGAAGCACCGGCUAACUCCGUGCCAGCAGCCGCGGUAAUACGGAGGGUGCAAGCGUUAAUCGGAAUUACUGGGCGUAAAGCGCACGCAGGCGGUCUGUCAAGUCGGAUGUGAAAUCCCCGGGCUCAGCCUGGGAACUGCACUCGAAACUGGCAGGCUAGAGUCUUGUAGAGGGGGUAGAAUUCCAGGUGUAGCGGUGAAAUGCGUAGAGAUCUGGAGGAAUACCGGUGGCGAAGGCGGCCCCCUGGACAAAGACUGACGCUCAGGUGCGAAAGCGUGGGGAGCAAACAGGAUUAGAUACCCCAGUAGUC